ensembl:lncRNA
CACGUGACUUGCAGAUCAGUGGAUUUCUCUGACAUCGGAGCAAUGGAAUACGCAUGUUGCAUAAGUUGUUGCGGCGUGGAGCAGUGGGAACAGGGUCAGAUCAGAUAAGAUAAGGUGGAAUAAAUGUAUCUGCAGCAGCGAGGACUCUGCACUCUGUAGGAGGGAGGAAGCCGUCAGAUCACCACUUGCAGGACUGUUGGUGGAUUUGUUUACUUGCAACGCUGUUGACCUGUGAACCCUGGUUGAGUGGCUACUUCAUCGGACCUUGAGUCCAAACGACUUGGGAGAACUUUGCUCUCUGAAGCCGUGCUGGUUGUUUGCAUUGGUGCUUUGAAGCAAGGAGAAAUGUUUCUUCAGGAAUGUUCUCAGUAUGUGAAUACAGCUUAUUCUGCCAACCUUGUAUCACUGUUUUAUGCUGCAAACAUGUUGGUAAGAAUAGCGACUGUUCUGGGAUCCGGCUCCACGCUGGUGCCUUUGGUUAUCAUGGAGAUCAGGAGCAGACCAGUGCAGUGUCCAUUACCCUCAGAAAGCGCAGCCGACAGCUUGCUCUGGAACCAUAUUGCGCGUUGACUCGAGGGAAGCGGAGUUACCUGAAUAUGACCAGCAGCGAUAGUGAAUGCUGUAAGAAGCCCUGAGGCCCCGCCCCCUGCUUCUGCUCCCAGCGCCGCGUUUAAAGUUUAUUAUUGUUGAACGCGUCCUAAUUGCACCAGCUUUGAGCUCCUCGGGGGGCAUCUGCACACCAGCCAACUGGGAAGUGCACCGGCUGAACGAUUAAAGAGCAACCCAGAAGGACCAAGCACCGGCUCUAAAUAGUCCCUUUGAGACGUCUUCCUUACCCGAAGGUCCACGUGGUUCUCCCACAUGCUUGGAAAGACAAGAGUUUAAGUUUAAUAGGUUGGAUGCAAUUUGGGGAGAAAGUCUGGCCUGAAGGUGCAUGUUCCUCUUAAAGAUGUCCAAGCCCUGAGUGUGUAGCCCUAACAUGGACUGCGUGCGUCUCUGCGGUUGAGUCAGCGGCCUUCACACAUCGGGAUGCUGGCAUCACUGGCCGAUGUACUCGUGUGCUUUCACAUUCCUCCCUCGGCCCGGCGGUAAAGUCAGGACAGGCACGACGUUUUCCAAGUGUAGAAAAAUAUGAGAUAAUGUGUCAUUUCGCCUUAAGGGGUCAAGAGGGAUUUGCUAAACAAAG